rnacentral:rRNA from 1 species
GACGAACGCUGGCGGCGUGCCUAAUACAUGCAAGUCGAGCGGAACUGGGGGAGCUUGCUCCUUCCAGUUUAGCGGCGGACGGGUGAGUAACACGUGGGCAACCUGCCCUGCAGAUCGGGAUAACUCCGGGAAACCGGUGCUAAUACCGAAUAGUUUGGCGCCUCUCCUGAGGCGCCACGGAAAGACGGUUUCGGCUGUCACUGCAGGAUGGGCCCGCGGCGCAUUAGCUAGGUGGUGGGGUAACGGCCCACCAAGGCGACGAUGCGUAGCCGACCUGAGAGGGUGACCGGCCACACUGGGACUGAGACACGGCCCAGACUCCUACGGGAGGCAGCAGUAGGGAAUCUUCCGCAAUGGACGCAAGUCUGAUGGAACAACGCCGCGUGAGUGACGAAGGUUUUCGGAUCGUAAAACUCUGUUGUGAGGGAAGAACACGUACCAACUAACUAUUGGUACCUUGACGGUACCUCACCAGAAAGCCACGGCUAACUACGUGCCAGCAGCCGCGGUAA